rnacentral:sRNA from 1 species
ACGGCGGAGGCGGAGGUGUUGACACGCCUA